GAACACUGUCAGUAAAUUAGAGCGGUGAUUGUUCCAACGCAAACAGUACUGCUGCGAGGUACUCGCCAUCUCGGUUAACUCAAUCAGCAAAGCGGGUUCUGAAAGAAAUUGCGAAUAAUGAGAACACGGUAAACUGGAAUUUACAAAAUAAAAAUGUAAAAAUGUU